UCGUCCCCGCAUCUUCUCUCUCUCUAUACAUUUUUCAGUUUUUGCUCUGUUCAAUUCGAAAAGCUAGGGUUUUUGUUAUGGGGCAACAAUCGUUGAUCUACAGUUUCGUUGCGAGAGGAACGGUGAUUUUGGCUGAGUAUACAGAGUUCACCGGCAAUUUCACAAGUAUAGCAUCGCAGUGCCUCCAGAAACUUCCUGCUUCAAAUAACAAGUUCACUUACAAUUGUGAUGGUCACACUUUCAACUACCUCGUUGAUAACGGCUUCAGUGAGUUUUUUCCUUCCCUAUCUCUCUCUGUGUGUGUUUUGAUCUGUCAGUCAAUUGGUUUGACUGGUCCAUAUCUAUAUAUAUAUAUAUACACACACACACACAUAUAUGUUUGUGUGUGUGUGUGUGAUUUUUCUGAUCCGUUAUCUAUGAUUCUCUGCUUCUUUGAUCCGAUGACUAUUUUAUAAUGAUCAGUUUCAUUUUCAUAUAAAACAAGUCGUUUUCACUUUCUUGUUGACUGUUUUUGGUUUAGGAUAAGUAGCCUC
rnacentral:lncRNA from 1 species